rnacentral:rRNA from 1 species
AGUGAACGCUGGCGGUAGGCCUAACACAUGCAAGUCGAACGGCAGCACAGGAGAGCUUGCUCUCUGGGUGGCGAGUGGCGGACGGGUGGGGAAUACAUCGGAAUCUACUCUGUCGUGGGGGAUAACGUAGGGAAACGUACGCUAAUACCGCAUACGACCUACGGGUGAAAGCAGGGGAUCUUCGGACCUUGCGCGAUUGAAUGAGCCGAUGUCGGAUUAGCUAGUUGGCGGGGUAAAGGCCCACCAAGGCGACGAUCCGUAGCUGGUCUGGGAGGAUGAUCAGCCACACUGGAACUGAGACACGGUCCAGACUCCUACGGGAGGCAGCAGUGGGGAAUAUUGGACAAUGGGCGCAAGCCUGAUCCAGCCAUACCGCGUGGGUGAAGAAGGCCUUCGGGUUGUAAAGCCCUUUUGUUGGGAAAGAAAUCCAGCUGGCUAAUACCCGGUUGGGAUGACGGUACCCAAAGAAUAAGCACCGGCUAACUUCGUGCCAGCCGCCGCCGUAA